GAUCCUGGCAGAAGAGGACACAGAAUCAGACGAAAUAAAUGAACUUGAUCUGACAAGUCCAAUCUGUCAAGGAAAAACUAACAACAGCUUUCCUGGAUGAGGGGGAGGACAAGAUAAUUCCGGAGCAGGACAUUAUUUGCCGCAGGGUCCUAGCUACCACCUUGUCAGACCACAUUCCAUACCAAGUCACAAGCAUGAUUAGCCUCCUCCUCUUUGAUUACAUGAUU
rnacentral:lncRNA from 1 species